rnacentral:rRNA from 1 species
AUUGAACGCUGGCGGCAUGCCUUACACAUGCAAGUCGAACGGCAGCACGGGUGCUUGCACCUGGUGGCGAGUGGCGAACGGGUGAGUAAUACAUCGGAACGUACCUUAUCGUGGGGGAUAACGCAGCGAAAGUUGCGCUAAUACCGCAUAUGCCCUGAGGGGGAAAGCGGGGGACCGUAAGGCCUCGCGCGAUUAGAGCGGCCGAUGUCUGAUUAGCUUGUUGGUGAGGUAAAAGCUCACCAAGGCGAUGAUCAGUAGCUGGUCUAAGAGGACGAUCAGCCACACUGGGACUGAGACACGGCCCAGACUCCUACGGGAGGCAGCAGUGGGGAAUUUUGGACAAUGGGGGCAACCCUGAUCCAGCAAUGCCGCGUGAGUGAAGAAGGCCUUCGGGUUGUAAAGCUCUUUUGUCAGGGAAGAAACAGCAGCUCUAACACAGUCUGCGAAUGACGGUACCUGAAGAAUAAGCACCGGCUAACUACGUGCCAGCCGCCGCGGUAA